UGGGGUAUGUAUACUUGAAGAAAAAAGAUGCAGACGGACAUGGAGAUGCAGACCAAGCAAAAUGUGCGUUUCUCUUUAUGAUGAACAGACAAUGCAAUGGUUUAGUGGAUGGUGCAGCUAUGGUACAUGAUAUUGACUACAAGCACGUGCGUGGAUGUCAUGUUGUAGAUUUCACAGUGGUUAAGUGGAUGCUGCAACUUGAUCCUUUUUUUGAGUAAUUCUGGAGCGUAGGAAUGUGCAUUCAACUUCUGGCUAUGGUGAAAGUAAAACUAGAAGUAUCG
rnacentral:lncRNA from 1 species